CAACGCCGCGUGGAGGAUGAAGUAUCUUGGUACGUAAACUCCUUUCGAUGGGGAAGAUUAUGGACCGGUACCCCAUAGAACGAAAGCCCCGGCUAACUUCCGUGG
rnacentral:rRNA from 1 species